GACGAACGCUGGCGGCGUGCCUAAUACAUGCAAGUAGAACGCAGUUGCGCACGCGUGAGUAACGCGUAGGUAACUGCCUCAUAGCGGGGGACAACUAUCGGAAACGAUAGCUAAUAACGCCAUCUGUGAGACGGACCUGCGUUGUAUUAGCUAGUGGGUGAGGUAAAGGCUCACCAAGGCGCCGAUACUUAGGCGACCUGAGAGGGUUGUCAGCCACCCUUGGAAUGGGACACGGCCCAAGCUCCUACGGGAGGGAGCAGUAGGGAAUCUUCGGCAAUGGACGGAAGGCUGACCGAACAACGCCGCGGGAGUGAAGAAGGUUUUCGGGUCGGAAAGCUCUGUUGUUAGAGAAGCGGUAACUAACCAUAAAGGGACGGCUAACUCCGUGCCAGCAGCCGCGGUAAUAC
rnacentral:rRNA from 1 species